CUUUCAUUUUCAAACAGUUUGCAUCUCGUGUUUUUUACGGAUAAAAGCAAAAGAAAUAGUACAAAAUGACACCGUUUUUAUAAUACUACGCAUCUCGUACCAUGUUGUUUUAUCACCUAAACUAUGUUUUACGAUGCAGCUCCUUUAAUCUCGUAUACAAAUUAAAAACAAAUAGACUAUCAUAUACAUAAAAGGCUGUUCAAUUUACCACUUUGUUAUAUUUUUUAUAAUUAUAAUGUUAUGUAGGUACCUUGAAGUUUUUGCAUCAAACAGCCACGUAAAUU